CAGUAUGGCAGCUGACAAUAUUGCUGACAAGUUGCUGCAUCAGUUCUGCAUAGUGUUUAGCAUUUAAGCAGAAGUGAAAGACUGCAUGUUCCGCUUUUGUUCUGUAGCAGAACUCCUCAGGAUGGUGUGACGUCUUCUAUAAAGCUAUAAAAGAGGCAGCUUGCGACACUCAUCCUAAAGCGUCUUGCUCUGUGAUUGCUGCUGUGUUUCUCUGUGUGAUUACUGAAGGCUGUUGUGGACGUCUCGUACCUCAUGGAAAUUAAGAGUAAACGCAUGGAGAGAGAUGAAGAGACAACCCAGUGAAACAUGGAGCUCGUCAGAUGGAGCAGCUGCUAUGAUAUAAGGCCAAAUUUCCCAGUCUCUGCUGAUCCACACACAC